UACGGGGGGGGGCAAGCGUUGUUCGGAAUUAUUGGGCGUAAAGAGCUCGUAGGCGGUCAGUCGCGUCUGCUGUGAAAACUCGGGGCUUAACUCCGGGCCUGCAGUGGGUACGGGCUGACUAGAGUGCGGUAGGGGAGACUGGAAUUCCUGGUGUAGCGGUGAAAUGCGCAGAUAUCAGGAGGAACACCGGUGGCGAAGGCGGGUCUCUGGGCCGUAACUGACGCUGAGGAGCGAAAGCGUGGGGAGCGAACAGG
rnacentral:rRNA from 1 species